UUGGGUUAAGUCCGUAACGAGCGCAACCCUGUCCUUAGUUACCAGCACGUUAUGUGGGCACUCUAAGGAGGACUGCCGGUGACAAACCGGAGGAAGGUGGGGAUGACGUCAAGUCAUCAUGGCCCUUACGGCCUGGGCUACACACGUGCUACAAUGGUCGGUACAAAGGGUUGCCAAGCCGCGAGGUGGAGCUAAUCCCAUAAAACCGAUCGUAGUCCGGAUCGCAGUCUGCAACUCGACUGCGUGAAGUCGGAAUCGCUAGUAAUCGUGAAUCAGAAUGUCACGGUGAAUACGUUCCCGGGCCUU
rnacentral:rRNA from 1 species